UACAGAGGGUGCGAGCGUUAAUCGGAAUUACUGGGCGUAAAGCGUGCGUAGACGGUCAUGUAAGUCGGGUGUGAAAGCCCCGGGCUCAACCUGGGAAUUGCAUUCGAGACUGCAUGGCUAGGAUGCGGAAGAGGGAAGCGGAAUUUCCGGUGUAGCGGUGAAAUGCGUAGAUAUCGGAAGGAACACCAGUGGCGAAAGCGGCUUCCUGGUCCAGCACCGACGUCAGGCACGAAAGCGUGGGGAGCAAACAGG
rnacentral:rRNA from 1 species